UACGUAGGGCGCAAGCGUUAUCCGGAAUUAUUGGGCGUAAAGAGCUCGUAGGCGGUUUGUCGCGUCUGCCGUGAAAGUCCGGGGCUCAACUCCGGAUCUGCGGUGGGUACGGGCAGACUAGAGUGAUGUAGGGGAGACUGGAAUUCCUGGUGUAGCGGUGAAAUGCGCAGAUAUCAGGAGGAACACCGAUGGCGAAGGCAGGUCUCUGGGCAUUACCUGACGCUGAGACGCGAAAGCGUGGGGAGCGAACCGG
rnacentral:rRNA from 1 species